AGAGUUUGAUCCUGGCUCAGAUUGAACGCUGGCGGCAUGCCUUACACAUGCAAGUCGAACGGCAGCACGGGUGCUUGCACCUGGUGGCGAGUGGCGAACGGGUGAGUAAUAUAUCGGAACGUACCUUAUCGUGGGGGAUAACGCAGCGAAAGCUGCGCUAAUACCGCAUACGCCCUGAGGGGGAAAGCGGGGGACCGUAAGGCCUCGCGCGAUUAGAGCGGCCGAUAUCUGAUUAGCUUGUUGGUGGGGUAAAAGCCCACCAAGGCGACGAUCAGUAGCUGGUCUGAGAGGACGAUCAGCCACACUGGGACUGAGACACGGCCCAGACUCCUACGGGAGGCAGCAGUGGGGAAUUUUGGACAAUGGGGGCAACCCUGAUCCAGCAAUGCCGCGUGAGUGAAGAAGGCCUUCGGGUUGUAAAGCUCUUUUGUCAGGGAAGAAACAGCAGCUCUAACACAGUCUGCGAAUGACGGUACCUGAAGAAUAAGCACCGGCUAACUACGUGCCAGCAGCCGCGGUAAUACGUAGGGUGCAAGCGUUAAUCGGAAUUACUGGGCGUAAAGCGUGCGCAGGCGGUUAUACAAGACAGGCGUGAAAUCCC
rnacentral:rRNA from 1 species